UUUAUUACAAGGAUAAAACAACAAGCUCUCUCCUUCUGAGAGACUCUUCAUCGUCUGUGUGAAUUUUCUAGAUUUGGCAAUUCUUUCUACUGCCAACCCUCGCCGUGGUCAGGGCUGGUGGCAAACCUUUUCCCUUUCAUUUUUUCUUUAUAACUGUUUUUUUUUCUUUCUCUCUGUUUCGAUGGUAGGUCCUAUUCACCAACCCAAUUUUCUUUGUCCCAAACCUCUUCUUAUCAUAUUAACAGACCUAAACUCUAGUCAGAGAGCCCUCAAUUCCGACAUUCCUUUUCCUUUUCUCCCUACUGUUUUCUUACCUCUAUGUUUACAUCCAAUCUAUCUUCUAUCUCUCCCAAUUCGCUCAAGCAUCAUUCGAUCCCAUAACUUUCUGGAUCUAAAACCAUUUAUUUCCACCACAUUUUGAGGCUUUACUGGAAGGUGUACAGAGCUCCCGCGGCUAAGGUGAUUGGAUUUCAAGCAUCCUCAGGGGGUGCGGGUUUGUGCAAGGUAGAUGGUGCUCCGAUGGCGGCAGAGUCAAUGCUGCUAGGGUUUUUGGCUUUGUGUGUUUUUUUUUUUUUUUUUUUUUUGGGGCUCCAAACCAUGUGUUAGGCUCUUUGUUUGUGCUGCUUUGAAGGUUAAUAGUUUUGCUAUGUGUUUCAUUUAUAAUUGAGCCUCUUUUUAUGUACAUUUUUGUGUUGCUAAUAAAUUUUACCUUCCACGAAAAAUAAUAAUAAUAAUAAUAAUAAGACCAAGAACACCACUUGUUA